rnacentral:rRNA from 1 species
ACAAAAGGGUAUGCCCAGCUCACGGCGAGUGAGCGGCAACAGCUCAAAUUUGAAAUCUGGCCCCCAGGGCCCGAGUUGUAAUUUGCAGAGGAUGCUUUUGGCGCGGUGCCUUCCGAGUUCCCUGGAACGGGACGCCAUAGAGGGUGAGAGCCCCGUCUGGUCGGACGCCUAGCCUGUGUAAAGCUCCUUCGACGAGUCGAGUAGUUUGGGAAUGCUGCUCUAAAUGGGAGGUAUAUGUCUUCUAAAGCUAAAUACCGGCCAGAGACCGAUAGCGCACAAGUAGAGUGAUCGAAAGAUGAAAAGCACUUUGAAAAGAGGGUUAAAUAGUACGUGAAAUUGUUGAAAGGGAAGCGCUUGUGACCAGACUUGGGCCCGGUGGAUCAUCCAGCGUUCUCGCUGGUGCACUCCGCCGGGUUCAGGCCAGCAUCAGUUCGCCGCGGGGGAAAAAGGCUUCGGGAACGUGGCUCCUACGGGAGUGUUAUAGCCCGUUGCAUAAUACCCUGGGGCGGACUGAGGUUCGCGCUCCGCAAGGAUGCUGGCGUAAUGGUCAUCAGCGACCCGUCUUGAACCACGGACCAA